GAUGAACGCUGGCGGCGUGCCUAAUACAUGCAAGUCGAGCGAACGGACGAGAAGCUUGCUUCUCUGAUGUUAGCGGCGGACGGGUGAGUAACACGUGGAUAACCUACCUAUAAGACUGGGAUAACUUCGGGAAACCGUAGCUAAUACCGGAUAAUAUUUUGAACCGCAUGGUUCAAAAGUGAAAGACGGUCUUGCUGUCACUUAUAGAUGGAUCCGCGCUGCAUUAGCUAGUUGGUAAGGUAACGGCUUACCAAGGCAACGAUGCAUAGCCGACCUGAGAGGGUGAUCGGCCACACUGGAACUGAGACACGGUCCAGACUCCUACGGGAGGCAGCAGUAGGGAAUCUUCCGCAAUGGGCGAAAGCCUGACGGAGCAACGCCGCGUGAGUGAUGAAGGUCUUCGGAUCGUAAAACUCUGUUAUUAGGGAAGAACAUAUGUGUAAGUAACUGUGCACAUCUUGACGGUACCUAAUCAGAAAGCCACGGCUAACUACGUGCCAGCAGCCGCGGUAAUACGUAGGUGGCAAGCGUUAUCCGGAAUUAUUGGGCGUAAAGCGCGCGUAGGCGGUUUUUUAAGUCUGAUGUGAAAGCCCACGGCUCAACCGUGGAGGGUCAUCGGAAACUGGAAAACUUGAGUGCAGGAGAGGAAGGUGGAAUUCCAUGUGUAGCGGUGAAAUGCGCAGAGAUAUGGAGGAACACCAGUGGCGAAGGCGACUUUCUGGUCUGUAACUGACGCUGAUGUGCGAAAGCGUGGGGAUCAAACAGGAUUAGAUACCCUGGUAGUCCACGCCGUAAACGAUGAGUGCUAAGUGUUAGGGGGUUUCCGCCCCUUAGUGCUGCAGCUAACGCAUUAAGCACUCCGCCUGGGGAGUACGACCGCAAGGUUGAAACUCAAAGGAAUUGACGGGGACCCGCACAAGCGGUGGAGCAUGUGGUUUAAUUCGAAGCAACGCGAAGAACCUUACCGAAUCUUGACAUCCUUUGACAACUCUAGAGAUAGAGCCUUCCCCUUCGGGGGACAAAGUGACAGGUGGUGCAUGGUUGUCGUCAGCUCGUGUCGUGAGAUGUUGGGUUAAGUCCCGCAACGAGCGCAACCCUUAAGCUUAGUUGCCAUCAUUAAGUUGGGCACUCUAAGUUGACUGCCGGUGACAAACCGGAGGAAGGUGGGGAUGACGUCAAAUCAUCAUGCCCCUUAUGAUUUGGGCUACACACGUGCUACAAUGGACAAUACAAAGGGCAGCGAAGCCGCGAGGUCAAGCAAAUCCCAUAAAGUUGUUCUCAGUUCGGAUUGUAGUCUGCAACUCGACUACAUGAAGCUGGAAUCGCUAGUAAUCGUAGAUCAGCAUGCUACGGUGAAUACGUUCCCGGGUCU
rnacentral:rRNA from 1 species